UCUCUCCUAAAAAAAACCUCUGUGUUUCUCUAGCUCUCCUAAAACCCCUCUACAUUUCGCUCUCCUUGAAAUCGUCGCCAGUAGGCGGUGGAGAAAGGUGGCUCCCUCUCGAUCCUCAAAUUUCCAAGGUCAUGGCGAACAGUGGUGGCGAACCCGAACUCGCCGCCUGCGAGCAAGGCUCGAUCUCUUUCUCUCCCCUCUUGAUACUCUCCGCCUUCCUCGCCUCAAGCCGCUUGCGAUGACGACGAAAAGAUCUAGAAUGAAUCGGCAACGAGAUCUCAUAGGAGAUGGCUGUGAGGCACUACUUUCGCCGUCGAUGAUGUAGCAAAAAGGCAGGAUUAUGGUGGCGCCGAGUAUGGUGGUGCCGAGUAUGGUGGUUGUGUGCGGUGCUGUUGGUGCAGAAACAUUGCAACACCUCUGGUUCAAGGAGAUUGUCCAGUGAGGCGUUCCUCGCUUAUUGGACCGAGGAGGACGAGGCGCUAAUUGCUGGCUGUUGAAACUAUUUGAUCUUCUGGAGGAUAUGGCAGAUAAUUACGUUCUCAUCUUCACUGGCAGCUGUUUUCUGGCCUGGGUAUGGAGCAUACACAGCAUCCAGGCUAGCAGUUGAGGCAAUGACCAAGAUUUUGGCCAAGGAACUCAAGGGGACUGGCAUUACAGCUCACUGUGUUGCACCAGGUCCCAUUGCAACUGAGUUGUUCUUUGCUGGUGCCACAGAAGAGCAUAUCCAAGGAGCAAUCAGUGUUUCACCAAUGAUGUUGCACCUCUGGUAGGAUUCUUGGCCAGAGACAGUGGUGAGUGGAUUAAUGGGCAGAUCAUUCGAGCCAAUGUUGGAUUUGUUUUUUCUCGAUUAUUGUUUUAAUUAUAUAUUUGUUGUAAUUAGUUAAGAAAACAAUCGUUUUAGUUAUUCAUUGUUUUAGGUUAGUAGUAUUUCAUUUUAGUUAUUCAUUGUUUUAGUUAAGGUUUUUAGUUAUGAAUUGUAUUGUUUUAGUUAUAUUUUAGUUAUAUUUAGUUAAAAAUUAAAUGGUUUAGUUAUAUUUUUCUCGAUUAUUCUUUUAGUUAUAUAUUUAUUGUAUUUAGUUAAGAAAUAAAUCAUUUUAGUUUAGAA